GGGAAACAAGAAGAGGGGCCAGCCUCAGGCCCCGAGAUACCCACAUCAGGCA
rfam:Mus musculus chromosome 10, GRC primary reference assembly.